CAACUGGAGAGUUUGAUCCUGGCUCAGAACGAACGUUGGCGGCGCGCCUAACACAUGCAAGUCGAGCGAGAAAGCUCCCUUCGGGGAGUGAGUAGAGCGGCAGACGGGUGCGUAACACGUGGGUAAUGUACCCUGUGGUCUGGGAUAACCUUCCGAAAGGAGGGCUAAUACCGGAUAAGCUCACGGAUUCCUUGGAGUCAGUGAGAAAAGGGGGCUUCGGCUCUCGCUACGGGAUCAGCCCGCGGCCCAUCAGCUAGUUGGUGAGGUAACGGCUCACCAAGGCUACGACGGGUAGCUGGUCUGAGAGGAUGAUCAGCCACACUGGGACUGAGA
rnacentral:rRNA from 1 species